AAGGGAGCUUGCUCCUGGAUUAGUGGCGAACGGGUGAGUAACACGUGAGUAACCUGCCCUUAACUCUGGGAUAAGCCUGGGAAACUGGGUCUAAUACCGGAUAUGACUCCUCAUCGCAUGGUGGGGGGUGGAAAGCUUUUUUGUGGUUUUGGAUGGACUCGCGGCCUAUCAGCUUGUUGGUGAGGUAAUGGCUUACCAAGGCGACGACGGGUAGCCGGCCUGAGAGGGUGACCGGCCACACUGGGACUGAGACACGGCCCAGACUCCUACGGGAGGCAGCAGUGGGGAAUAUUGCACAAUGGGCGCAAGCCUGAUGCAGCGACGCCGCGUGAGGGAUGACGGCCUUCGGGUUGUAAACCUCUUUCAGUAGGGAAGAAGCGAAAGUGACGGUACCUGCAGAAGAAGCGCCGGCUAACUACGUGCCAGCAGCCGCGGUAAUACGUAGGGCGCAAGCGUUAUCCGGAAUUAUUGGGCGUAAAGAGCUCGUAGGCGGUUUGUCGCGUCUGCCGUGAAAGUCCGGGGCUCAACUCCGGAUCUGCGGUGGGUACGGGCAGACUAGAGUGAUGUAGGGGAGACUGGAAUUCCUGGUGUAGCGGUGAAAUGC
rnacentral:rRNA from 1 species